GUUUGUUCUGAGACUGAACAACAGGUGCAUGCUUUGGUCAGCUGUGCAGCAGGAGAUGGGUCAAAGGAGAUCUCAACAACGUCUGAUUCUCAGCUGACAUGUCAUGACAACACUCAACAGGUUUGUUCUGAGACUGAACAACAGGUGCAUGAUUUGGUCAGCUGUGCAGCAGGAGAUGGGUCAAAAGAGGUUUAUUCUGAGACUGAACAACAGGUGCAUGAUUUGGUCAGCUGUGCAGCAGGAAAUGGGUCAAAGGAGG